ACACACACACUCCCCUGCAGGUUCCGGGCUGCUUGCUGUGCACUGGGGUUUUUCUUCCUUCAGCUCUAGCCCACCAGGUGCCCACAUCACAUGCACACGCGCGUGCAUAUUUGCGUGCAUGUGAGCAUGCGCAGGGGAGCGGGGGAGGACAACGACAUAUGCUGCCAUGAAUGCCAACACACGGGGGUCCCUGCAGCUCAUGACAGGUGCCUGAUAGAAGAGGUCGAGCAAAAAUAAUGGGAAAAUGAUGUGCGGCAAGAAAUGUGGGCUCCAGCUGUGACCACACCUCACAGGGACGGACACACGGACACAUGGACACACACACAGCAGCCAAGACGCUGGGAUCCUGUUGAGGAGAAGGAAGAGGCAGUGAAGCCUCCAGGGCCUCAGCCUUUUCCACUGCAGAUGGAAGAAAGGCUUUUCACAGCUGCUCAUCUGGGCCAGCCCAGCUGAAAUGGCUGAAAGGCGAGGAGCAGCAACUCCCCGGGGAGGAUGGGGUAAUGGUUUGCACCCGAGCCUGUGGAGGACGGAGUGAGCUGGCAGGGGGAAAGAUCAUCACAGCAUCCACCCGAGUGAGAGUCCACCCCGGGCCACUCCUCUGAGGACCACAGCACCUGCGGC